CCUGAUCGAAGCCCCAGUAAACGGCGGCCGUAACUAUAACGGUCCUAAGGUAGCGAAAUUCCUUGUCGGGUAAGUUCCGACCUGCACGAAUGGCGUAAUGAUGGCCAGGCUGUCUCCACCCGAGACUCAGUGAAAUUGAACUCGCUGUGAAGAUGCAGUGUACCCGCGGCAAGACGGAAAGACCCCGUGAACCUUUACUAUAGCUUGACACUGAACAUUGAGCCUUGAUGUGUAGGAUAGGUGGGAGGCUUUGAAGUGUGGACGCCAGUCUGCAUGGAGCCAACCUUGAAAUACCACCCUUUAACGUUUGAUGUUCUAACCUAGGCCCAUAAACUGGGUCGGGGACCGUGUCUGGUGGGUAGUUUGACUGGGGCGGUCUCCUCCUAAAGAGUAACGGAGGAGCACGAAGGUUGGCUAAGCAUGGUCGGACAUCAUGCGGUUAGUGCAAAGGCAUAAGCCAGCUUGACUGCGAGAGUGACGGCUCGAGCAGGUACGAAAGUAGGUCUUAGUGAUCCGGUGGUUCUGAAUGGAAGGGCCAUCGCUCAACGGAUAAAAGGUACUCCGGGGAUAACAGGCUGAUACCGCCCAAGAGUUCAUAUCGACGGCGGUGUUUGGCACCUCGAUGUCGGCUCAUCACAUCCUGGGGCUGAAGUAGGUCCCAAGGGUAUGGCUGUUCGCCAUUUAAAGUGGUACGCGAGCUGGGUUUAGAACGUCGUGAGACAGUUCGGUCCCUAUCUGCCGUGGGCGUUGGAAGAUUGAGAGGGGUUGCUCCUAGUACGAGAGGACCGGAGUGAACGCACCACUGGUGUUCGGGUUGUCAUGCCAAUGGCAUUGCCCGGUAGCUAAGUGCGGAAGAGAUAACCGCUGAAAGCAUCUAAGCGGGAAACUUGCCUCGAGAUGAGUCUUCCCUGUCGCUUUAAGCGACCUAAAGGAACGUUUAAGACUAAGACGUUGAUAGGCUGGGUGUGUAAGCGUAGCGAUACGUUGAGCUAACCAGUACUAAUGAACCGUGAGGCUUAACCUG
rnacentral:rRNA from 1 species